rnacentral:rRNA from 1 species
AUUAACGCUGGCGGUAUGCCUAACACAUGCAAGUCGAACGGAGCUUCGGGUCAGUGGCGAACGGGUGAGUAAUACAUUGGUACUUGCCUCAGAGUAGGACAUAGCCUGCCGAAAGGUGGGGUAAUUUCCUAUAGUCUAAGUAAUUAGUAAAGCAGCAAUGCGCUCUGAGAGAGACCUUUGUCCUAUCAGCUUGUUGGCGGGGUAAAAGCCCACCAAGGCGACGAGGGGUACCUGGAUCGANAGGUUGACCACCCACACUGGGACUGAGACACGGCCCAGACUCCUACGGGAGGCAGCAGUGAGGAAUUUUCCACAAUGGGCGAAAGCCUGAUGGAGCAAUACCGCGUGAAGGAUGACGGUCUUCGGAUUGUAAACUUCUUUUAUAUUUGAAGAUUAUGACGGUAAAGUAUGAAUAAGCAUCGGCUAACUACGUGCCAGCAGCCGCGGUAAUACGUAGGAUGCAAGCGUUAUCCGGAAUUAUUGGGCGUAAAGAGUGUGUAGGUGGCGUGUUAAGUUAAAUGUUAAAUCCCAGGGCUCAACUCAGGGGCUGCAUUUAAUACUGGCAUGCUUGAGGUAUGGAGAGGUAAGCGGAAUUAGUAGUGUAGCAGUGAAAUGCGUAGAUAUUACUAGGAACACCAAUGGCGAAGGCAGCUUACUGGCCAUAUUCUGACGCUGAGACACGAAAGCGUGGGGAGCGAACGGGAUCAGAUACCCCGGUAGUCCACGCCGUAAACGAUGAUCACUAGCUGUGCGGGGAGUCGACCCCCUGCGUAGUGUAGCUAACGCGUUAAGUGAUCCGCCUGGGGAGUACGGUCGCAAGGCUAAAACUUAAAUGAA